rnacentral:rRNA from 1 species
GACGUAGGGCGCGAGCGUUGUCCGGAUUUAUUGGGCGUAAAGAGCUCGUAGGCGGCUUGUCGCGUCGACUGUGAAAACCCGUGGCUCAACCAUGUGGUCUGCAGUCGAUACGGGCAGGCUAGAAUUCGGUAGGGGAGACUGGAAUUCCUGGUGUAGCGGUGAAAUGCGCAGAUAUCAGGAGGAACACCUGUGGCGAAGGCGGGUCUCUGGGCCGAUAUUGACGCUGAGACGCGAAAGCGUGGGGAGCGAACAGG